ACCUGGGUGGCUCAGUCGGUUAAGCAUCUGACUUUGGCUCAGGUCGCGAUCUCAUGGUUCGUGGGUUCGAGCCCUGCCUUGGGCU
rnacentral:tRNA from 1 species